GACGAACCGUCCAAACGUUAUUCGGAAUCACUGGGCUUACAGAGUUCGUAGGCGGUCUGGAAAGUUGGGUGUGAAAUCCCUCGGCUCAACCGAGGAACUGCGCUUGAAACUACCAGACUCGAGGGAGAUAGAGGAAAGCGGAACUGAUGGUGGAGCGGUGAAAUGCGUUGAUAUCAUCAGGAACACCGGUGGCGAAGGCGGCUUUCUGGACAAAUACUGACACUGAGGCACGAAAGCGUGGGGAGCAAACAGG
rnacentral:rRNA from 1 species